CCAAAAAGCAACCACCUCAAACCAGCGAGACUGCAGGGGAAAAAAUGGAAGUGGCUGAGCGAACGAAGUCUCAGCACAGCAGCCCGAUGCACGGCGAUGCCAGGCAGUCGACGGUCUGAGAGAAGGACUAAGGCGCUAGUGCGGAUUUGUUGAGAUAAGGCUGUGCCCGAUCGCAGCCGCAUCCAUUCCCUCGGCUGCCGCCGGUCGCCCUCUUCGCACGGGGAAGGAUGGAGAGCCGGCGGGGCUCCCCCGGCGCGGUGCCCGGUGCGGGAGCGACGCUGCCCCGGGCUGUGAGCGGAGUUCGCGGGGAGACAGCGGCUGAAGUGGCACCGUCAGCGCCGGGUGGGGUCAGACGGGGGAGGUUCAUGAAAAAAGCUUUGCCACAAGCAAGGCACCCCCCUUUUUUUUUCCCGUUUUUAUUUUAAAUUUUGCUAAAUCUGGGCAUGGUUUGGAGUGUGUCUUUUCCCUCCCCUCCCGCUGUGUCCCUCCCGCUCCCGUGGUCGGUUUGGGUUGUCCUCUGGUUCUUCCCGCUGCCGUGAGAUAUCGGGGCAGUCUGCACGACAACAUAUAUCCGGCGUGAAAAUUAGGAGAUGACAUUUUAAUAAAUGCUGCUGUCAGUCAGCAGCUCUCAGCCUGGCUGCCGUGUGCUCUCACUGCUGCCAUUCUGCAGAGAGCACAAGGCCCUGCUGAGU